rnacentral:rRNA from 1 species
AGAGUUUGAUCCCUGGCUCAGGACGAACGCUGGCGGCGCGCUUCAAGGCAUGCAAGUCGAACGAGAAACCCGGGCUUGCCCGGGUGGAGAGUGGCGAACGGGUGAGUAACACGUGAGGAACCUGCCCCGAAGACCGGGAUAACGCCGGGAAACUGGUGCUAAUACCGGAUGCCCUCGCUGGAUCGCAUGGUCCGGCGAAGAAAUGGAUUCCGCUUCGGGAUGGCCUCGCGGCCUAUCAGCUUGUUGGUGGGGUAAUGGCCCACCAAGGCAGCGACGGGUAGCUGGUCUGAGAGGAUGUCCAGCCACACUGGGACUGAGACACGGCCCAGACUCCUACGGGAGGCAGCAGCUAGGAAUCUUGCGCAAUGGACGAAAGUCUGACGCAGCGACGCCGCGUGCGGGAUGAAGGCCCUAGGGUCGUAAACCGCUUUCAGCAGGGACGAAAUUGACGGUACCUGCAGAAGAAGCCCCGGCCAACUACGUGCCAGCAGCCGCGGUAAUACGUAGGGGGCGAGCGUUGUCCGGAUUUAUUGGGCGUAAAGAGCUCGUAGGCGGUUUGGUAAGUCGGACGUGAAAUCUCCAGGCUCAACUUGGAGGGGUCAUUCGAUACUGCCAUGACUAGAGUUCGGUAGGGGAAUGUGGAAUACCUGGUGGAGCGGUGAAAUGCGCAGAUAUCAGGUGGAACACCCGUAGCGAAGGCGGCAUUCUGGGCCGAUACUGACGCUGAGGAGCGAAAGCGUGGGGAGCGAACAGGAUUAGAUACCCUGGUAGUCCACGCCGUAAACGUUGGGCACUAGGUGUGGGGUUCUAUCGACGGAUUCCGUGCCGUAGCUAACGCAUUAAGUGCCCCGCCUGGGGAGUACGGCCGCAAGGCUAAAACUCAAAUGAAUUGACGG